AUGCUCCUCUCUGUCAGCUCCCCUGCUGCCAAGCACAGGUGGGUACCCACAUUAGCGCUGUUGUGGAUGAGGGGUGGCCCCAGCAGGAGCACCACUGAAGAACAUUGGCUGGCUGCCUGGGCCUCAUGCACACCUACAACAGACAAGAAGGUGCUUCUUCCAGGAUUUGUUUCCAAAAUGAUGUCUCAAACUUCACAGUACUCAGUUACAGAUUGGCCUGGGGAAGCUCCGUUUCCCUCUUUCUGUGCUGUUCUGACACAUUUGUUUUUGGGUUCCCACCUGUUUUGCCCCACAUACCUCAUCAGUCCCAUUCUUAGGUUGGACAACACCUUACCUUCUUCCUCUACCUCAUGGUCAACAUCUACCAAUGUUCAUAAUGAUGCAGCCAAAUACAAAUCUCUUCAGGCAAAAGAUUUGUACAACAAAUUCAAAGACAGCACCCAAGAAACCAUCUGAAUAACACUGCACCUCCUUGAGCAUAAACCAAAGAUGAGAUUGAUGAGUGCAAGGAGUCCAUUCCUGGACUUGUGUAGGUUUUAGUAAGCCACAAAACUGGUAGACCAGCUCAGCUUCUAACUCAUGCGAGACUCUUCAAAUAGCCAGGAUUUAUUUCCACUGACUGCAUUGCCAUGAGAAAACUGGUAACUGCUUUUUCUGAAAGAAGAAAUGCAAGCUAAUAUACCAUGGGAAGCUUCUUAGUAAGCUUUGUGACUGGAGGCCUAGCUGGCAAGCUUGGGUGUGCAUUUUGAUACAGCCUUAAUGCAUUAAAAUGCAUUUAUUAUGCAUUUAAACAAAUGCAUAAUCCCUUGAGAACAGCUUAUAUUUAGAAAUGUAGAUCAGAAAGGUGUUUGGGCACUGAGAGCAUUCAGUUUCUGGUAUGGUUCUUCCUGCAGAAUUGAACCUGACUCUCAGACCAACAGAGAGGAAUCGCUGCUCCACGUUUUGGAGCACAGCGGCUCCACCCCACCAGGACAGAUUCCAGCAGUAAAACACAGCAGUGGGCUGACACCAAGGGGAGACCCACACACAGCCCACGGCUCCAGGGGAUGACUCCAAGCUAAUGGAACCAGGCAGAGGCCCCACCACACCACGAGGCACACACUGCCCCAACAGCCCUGGGCACUGUGCUCCUGCCGAUGGCUGCAGGUAGGAUGGGUGCUGCCAGAACCAGCCCAGCCCUCCCAAGGAAGUAGAAACCCUAAAAAACCACAAAACACAAAACACAGCAGAAGAAGAGAGACGAGAGAAGAAGGAAGAAAAGAAAGAACAGAGCAUAAAAACAACAAAAACCAACAUACACAACAAACAACAAACAAAAAAACAAAAAAAAGAAAAGAGAGAGAAAGAAGGAAAAAAGAAAAAAAAGCGAGAAAAGACACACAAUACAACACACACAAAAACACACAACAAAAGAGAAAGGAGAAAUACCAAGACAAAACAGG
rnacentral:lncRNA from 1 species